rnacentral:rRNA from 1 species
CAGCAGCCGCGGUAAAACGGAGGGGGCUAGCGUUGUUCGGAAUUACUGGGCGUAAAGCGCACGUAGGCGGCUUGGUAAGUUAGAGGUGAAAGCCUGGAGCUCAACUCCAGAAUUGCCUUUAGGACUGCCGAGCUAGCAGGUGAGAGAGGUAAGUGGAAUUCCGAGUGUAGAGGUGAAAUUCGUAGAUAUUCGGAAGAACACCAGUGGCGAAGGCGGCUUACUGGCUCAUACUGGACGCUGAGGUGCGAAAGCGUGGGGAGCAAACAGGAUUAGAUACCCCCGUAGUCCCUGUCUCUUAUAC